rnacentral:lncRNA from 1 species
AUUAUAAAUACUUUAAAGGACCACUAUAGUGCCAGGAAAACAUACUCGUUUUCCUGGCACUAUAGUGCCCUGAGGGUGCCCCCACCCUCAGGGACCCCCUCCCGACCGGCUCUGGAAGGGGGAAAGGGGUUAAAACUUACCUUUUUCCAGCGCUGGGCGGAGAGUUCUCCUCCUCCUCUCCGCCUCCGAUCCGCCCCGCCGGCUGAAUGCGCACACGCAGCAAGAGCUGCGCGCGCAUUCAGCCGGUCUCAUAGGAAAGCAUUUACAAUGCUUUCCUAUGGACGCUGGCGUGCUCUCACUGUGAAAAUCAC